rnacentral:rRNA from 1 species
AUGAUGAGCAUCUAUUGGAGUCGAUCAUUUCCAAGAUCUAAUUCUAGUUUCUUAUUAUGUAGUGGAAACGCCUCACAAUCUUCAGUUUUACACUUACGCUUAAGGGAAGAAAUGUUCUUGGUGGAUGCAGGCCCUGGUACCCCCAAAAUUUGUAUGCAAGAUGAGCUUACAGGACUGCCAAUCAAGCGAGCCACCAGGUUUGAGAAUAAGGUGGGAUCCAAGAAUGUAGUGGCUGGUGAAUCACUGAUCAAAAAGCGGAUUUUUGAGAGAUUCUUCAUCGAUCUAGUGGCCGAUGAAUCACUGAUCAAAGAGCGAGCAGCCGCCAGGUUUAAUGAUUUUGUGGGAUCCCUGGAUGUAGCGGCUGGCGAACCGCUUCUUCUUCCACAAAGAUUCAGACAAAACUGA